CUGCUGCACUGCAGAGUCCACAUUGUACACUGGAAACUCUCAGAUUGUGGCAUUGUGGUUUGUCAAAGAACAGCUGUGAUUAUCUGGCAGCAGCGCUGAAGUCCAACCCCUCAUAUCCCAGAGUACUCGACCUGAGUAUAGACAACAACAACCUGCCGGAUUCAGGAGUGAAGCAGCUGUGUGUUCUUCUGGAGAAUCCGCGAUGUCAAUUUGAAACUCUGAGACUGAGUCACUGUGACCUGUCAGAGAGAGGCUGUGAAGCUCUGGCCUUAGGUCUCAGCUCUCAGACCUCUAAUCUGAGACAGCUGGACCUGAGUAACAUUAACCUGAAGGAUUCAGGCAUCAAGCUUCUGUCUGAAGGACUGAAGAAUCCACACUGUAAACUGGAAACUCUCAGUCUGUCAGGCUGUCUGAUCACAGAGGAAGGCUGUACUUCU